CUGUCAUGAGGUGGGAUAUAUUAGGCAGCAAGUGAACAGUCCGUUCUUGAAUUUCAUGUGUUGGAAGCAGGAAAAAUGGGCAAGUGAAAAGAUCUGUGUGACGUUGACAAGGGAUAAAUAGUGAUCGCGAGACGACUGGGUCAGAACAUCUCCAAAACGGCAAGUAUGUGGGAUGUUCCCGGUAUGCAGUGGUUAGUACCUACCAAAAGUGGUGCAAGGAAGGACAACUAGUGAACCAGCGUCAGGAUCAUGGGCUACUGUAGCACAAACUGUUGACAAACAUAAUGCUGGCCAUGAUAGAAAGAUGUCAGAACACACGUACACUCCUUUAUGGCAAUGGUGUUCCCUGAUGGCAGUGCC